rnacentral:rRNA from 1 species
UACGGGGGGGGCAAGCGUUGUUCGGAAUUACUGGGCGUAAAGGGCUCGUAGGCGGCCAACUAAGUCAGACGUGAAAUCCCUCGGCUUAACCGGGGAACUGCAUCUGAUACUGGAUGGCUUGAGUUCGGGAGAGGGAUGCGGAAUUCCAGGUGUAGCGGUGAAAUGCGUAGAUAUCUGGAGGAACACCGGUGGCGAAGGCGGCAUCCUGGACCGGCACUGACGCUGAGGAGCGAAAGCCAGGGUAGCAAACGGG